GAAUAGCCCCGAUGGGAGCGGCAUCCUUUUUCGGUGGCUGAAGUGUCAUGCUGUGCUCGUCGAAGCUCUCACGAAGCCCCCGAAAAAGAUAGAGCGGACAGCGGGAAAACGG
rnacentral:sRNA from 1 species